CGACGAUGUUAAACAACCACACCGGUCCAAGCUGUGAGCUUCAGGCUGAGGCUUGGCAGGGCGCCGCCAACUGGGGACCUGUGAAGUUGCUUUUAGACAUGAUCUGUGGAGUUCUCAGGAUUCUGGCAUCAAUCAACACUUCCUGUUCGACUUUUGGACCGUCAGCUCGGCUGCCCGACUGUUGUUUCUGUGAGUGAACAAGCCAGUUUUUAUCUUGUUUGGAGCAAUGCUGAAAUUCCAAGAGACUGCUAAGUGUGGACCCACAGCCAUUCCUGUGUACCCACCCACUGUGAUUGCAAGAAGAUACGUUCUCCAACAGAAGCUUGGCAGCGGGAGUUUUGGAACUGUCUAUCUGGUGUCAGACAAGAAAGCCAAGCAUGGAGAGGAACUGUAAGUAAUGAAAUGUGCAAAUGUGGGCAUGCGUAGCCACAGGCUGGUUUAGAACAUGGAGUCACAUCUGAUCUGUACUCUGUAUUGAACAAGAGACUUAGAAACAGAAAAGAGCCUUCACUGGUUUCUCCAUAGAUGCCCCACCCCCAUUUUGCUUGAAGUCACAGAGUUUUGCUCUAAAACUGAGCCACACUCCUAGCCCCAAAUAAAAUUAUAAAAAUAUGAUGCACA
rnacentral:sRNA from 1 species